UAGCACCUUUGCCUUCACGCCUCCAGCGCCCCUUGUCUGGUGUUCAUCCUGCCAGCACAGGGACCCCCAACCCCUUGGAAGGUAAACAAGAUAAACUACAGAAAGCUGUACAGCAUAUACUGUCUCUUCUGGAAGAGAUGAAAACUGACGUGAAAGACGUGAAAAAUAGGCUUGCGCAGAUGGAGUGCCAAACCCAAGAAAAGGAGCUGACAUCUGACACAAGGGUUACAGUUUCCCUUAAAAUCUUCAGAGGAUGUAGAAUGUCUCAAGUUGGAUUUAAAGACAGAUCCAGGAAAACGUGCACGCUUGGAAUGCUAUUUGGCGAUGAGGGGAGGCCUUAGCUUAAAGCUCGUAGUCAGGAGUAUACUGUCUGUGCUAUUUUCAACAGAAUUAGCCCGGUGUUACAACUAUAAUGGCCUGAAGGGAAAGAAGGGACUGAAGAACCACCCCUUUAUUUUAAGAACAGUUCAGGAUGCUGCAAGAAAAAGUUAUCCUGAUGCUACGGAAGUGGAACUGCAAGUUCAGAUUUCGAAAUGGCUGACUGGGGCGAGAGAUCGC
rnacentral:misc_RNA from 1 species